rnacentral:lncRNA from 1 species
UGGAAUGUGCUGCAUAGGUCCGUUUAUUUGACAGGCUUGGCAUUCUCUUGCAUAAUCCAUGUAGUCCUUGAGUAUAUAUAGUUGGCAAAAAUACGAGUAUUUCUGAAUCAAUCAACUCAUCUUAAUGCCUAACUGAUGAGCCCCGUAUAUACCCUCAUGUGCUUCAGCCAUAAUUAGUCUUGAUUCUUCUACAUUCACACACAAAAACAUAGUUUCAUCUUUAUAACACCUUUUAUACAAGACACCAUCUAACAAAAUGUACCUGACAACCCUAUGUUGGGAAAAAUCACCUCCUAAAUACUGUUGUCUUUGAUAAAUUAGAUGGAUAAAAUAUCAGUAUAUGCCAAACAAAUUAAAUCCGCAGUUCUACCAGAAUAAUAACCACUGUAGAAAAUAAUGAGUAGAAAAUAUCCAACCACGAGACACCAAGAUUAUUACGUGAAAAACCCUUUAAAACUAAGAGGUAAAAACCACGAGACGAUCUUCGAAAAAUUCAUUAGAAUAAACUGAGAGAAUAGAAAGAUAUCUUAAUUUGAGUCCCACUCAAAUUACCUCACUACAAUAACUAUGUAAUGAACCCAAACAACACCCCUAGUAAUUUAAUCUUUUUCUCUAUAUUUUUCUUUCUUAACUCUCUUUUAUUUUCUCUCUUUUUCUUUCACUCUUCCGGGUGGGAUUUCUCCCUUUGAUGGAAUCUCUUACAUUUUCCAUGGGAUUAAUCUGGCAACCUUGGAGGUUUAAAUAGGUA